rnacentral:rRNA from 1 species
UACGUAGGGGGCAAGCGUUAUCCGGAUUUACUGGGUGUAAAGGGAGCGUAGACGGUAAGACAAGUCUGAAGUGAAAUCCCGCGGCUCAACCGCGGAACUGCUUUGGAAACUGUUUUACUAGAGUGCAGGAGAGGUAAGUGGAAUUCCUAGUGUAGCGGUGAAAUGCGUAGAUAUUAGGAGGAACACCGGUGGCGAAGGCGGCUUACUGGACUGUAACUGACGUUGAGGCUCGAAAGCGUGGGGAGCAAAC